rnacentral:sRNA from 1 species
GUGGUGGGCCCCUGUAAUCCCAGCUACUCGGGAGGCUGAGGCAUGAGAAUUGCUUGAACUCGGGAGGUAGAAAUUGCAGUGAGCUGAGAUUGUGCUACUGCACUCUAGCCUGGGCAACAGAGCGAGACUCUGUCUCAAACCCCCCUCCACCCCCCAUAAUUAGCCAGGCUUGGUGGAUCACGCCUGUAAUCCCAGUUAUUUGGGAGGCUGAGGCAUGAAAAUCGCUUGAACCCUGGAGGUAGAGAUUGCAGUGAGCCAAGAUUGCGCCACUGCACUCCAGCCUGGGCAAUAGAGCGAGACUCAGUCAAAAGAAAAAAGAGAACCUCGGUGUUGGUGGACUUGGGUCACCUUUGAUUUUCACCUGGAGGAGUCUGAAGUGGCCAGGGAGAGGAUAGUGGAUCUUUACUGUGUGUGUAGGACCUUUACAGACCUUAACUGUAAAUGCAAAACCCCAGAAAGAGCUAUCAGAAACUUUCAGGCAUUUGCAGAAAAAUCCACUUUAUUCAGUGCAGUAUCACCUGGAAAUUUCAAUUAACCAUCCUUCAUCAACAGGAACCCCUGGUUGGUCAGCCAUCAGAAGCCCUGGUUGGUCAGCAUUCCACCAAUAAGAAUUCCUGGUUAGCGGCACUCCACCAAUCACAACCCCUGGUUAGCUCCUAUUCCACCAAUCAGAAGCCUUGGUUAGAAUGCAUUCUAUUAAAGGACUCUGUCGGCGGGUACUUCCAGGGCAAUUUAGGUGAGUUACAUUUGAGGGUCUUGGUGGCAGAUUCAGGUCCCCACGAGGAACUGUACCUUUUGGGGGGAAAUUUGCUUUCUUGGAUUUAAGAAAGUGCUUAACCUAAGUUAAGCACUAGGUUAGCCAGCAGCUGGUUUCUGAACCAGGAGACUGGGCUGAUGGCUUUGGAGAGGAAGGAGGCAGGAUGGAGCAUUGGAGAAGCUGGGCCGGCAGAUUCUGGUGCAGAGGAGGAGGCGACACAGGCCCCUGAUCCCAGCCCCAGCUGCUCUUCCUUGUGAGAACUUCCGGCUGGGGUUUUCGGGACUGGGGUCUGGUGGUCUCCUUUGGUCUCCCAGUUAGUGGGCUGCCUUGCGGGGAAGGGAAGGAAGAGGCUGAGGGUCAGCUCCCAAGAGCAGAGGAGUUGGUGGGACUUGGGCCGGGAGGUGCAGAAGGGUGCAUCUGGCUGCACCCUGUCCUGCCCAGCUGCUGGGUGUGACCUUGGGCAAGUCACCUCACUUGUGGGCUUGUGUUCAGAGGGGCAGGGGUGAUGGCUGAGCUUGCAGUCACACACCCGCUUCUGGUAAGUGGCGGGCUGUGUGAACUAGCAGUCAGUAGAGGCGCUUCAGUGGGUUGGCAUCUGCAGGUUGCUGUUGUGCCCGGUCUGGCUGCUUGACCUUGGGAUCAUCACCUUCCUUCCCACGACCCUGCAUUGCUUGCUCACUGUAAUCUCGGCCACCCCACUGGGUUUUGUGAGAAUCAGGCAGGGAAAAAUGUCAACGAGGUCUGUGAAUAAUAAAAAGAGUUACACGAUUACAGCAAUUUCCGAAUGCCUGGUCCUUUUUUUUUUUUUUUUUUUUGAGACAAGGUCUCACUCUGUUGCCCAGGCUGGAGUACAGUGACAUGAUCACAGCUCACUGCAGCCUCAACCUCCUGGGCUUACUACAUCCUCCCACCUUAGCCUCCUCAGUUGCUGGAACAAUAGGCACACUCCACCAUGCCUGGCUGAUUUCUUUAAUUUUUUCUAGUGAUGGGGUCUCACUAUGUUGCCCAGGCUGGUCUUGAACUCUGGGGCUCAAGCGAUCCUCCUGCUUUGGCCUCCCAAAGUGCUAGGAUUAUAGGUGUGAGCCACUGUGCCAGGCCUAGUCUUCUCUUUUACAGGGAUAACUGUCACCUGCCAGUUGAGGCAUCGGGCUCUGUGGGCUGGUCAGAGCUCAUUCUGCCCUAUGGCCUGACACCUGCUCUGGGGUCAGGGUUCAUGCCCAGCGCUUGCUGCAGCUGGACCCUACCCAAACCUCUGUGCCCCCCUCUUUACAUGGGAGUCUUCAGGCCACCUGACUCAGGAACAUUGUGACAAUUCAGUGAGAAAAUUCUCGCCAAAAACUUAAAAAAAAAAAGGUAUCCCUCUGUUGUGGACCCUCCAGGAGGGCCAGCUCUCAGGUGGCCCAAGGCUGGACUUGGUGCUCCCUUUUCACCCCCUGGUCAGCUCUGGCUUUUGGGCAUUGCCAGGAGGGACCCAGGGGCUGGGUGGGCAGGGGUCUCUCCCCACAUCUCUCCUGAGGGGGAUGGUGAUGCCUCAAGAUUGCACUUACCUUGUGUUGUGGCUUCCUAUGGACAUCUCUUCCCACCUCUUACCUCCAAAGAGCCCCAGCUUUAAGCCACCCACUGCAGAGCAGUCCUGGUCCCCUUGGCCUGCUGGCCUCUCAGAGAUGUUAUGGUCUGAGGCUGUGCCAGGCCUGGGAGCCUGGACUCCGCCCCAAGGCUGGGCCACACACAGCCGUGCAGCAGGCCUGCUCUAGUCCCCCUAUCACCUCCACUUCAGGGCAGGGGAACGGGGAGAAGUGAGGGCACUGACAUCCAGCUGACUGACCCUAAAACCAUCCCCUCUCUGCCCUGCACCCUAAAGUCUCUCAUGGAAAGUGGGGGGCCCGGGCCCCUUUUGCAGCGCUGACAUUUCAAGACCCUGUAAGCGACUUGUACCCUGGGUGCAGGCCCUGGGCCUUUGGGUCCUGAUGGAGGAGGGGGCUUGGCUUGAUGAGGACGGAAGGAGGUUGAUUUGCAUCCAGACUUCCGGCGUCGGACACCUCUCUAUUGGGAGAGGAAGCCGAGGCCGGGGAAGGGGCAGCGAUGCGUCCAGGGUCCCACAGGGAGCCAAGGCUGGACAGAUGGGCAGGCUGGGUGGGGCCAGGAAGGCCACGGCUGUUUCCAGCUGUUGCAGAUGUGCUGCCUCCGGGGUCCAUGCAAACUCCUUUCCGCCUGCGGGCUGGCGAAGGGGCCAGGGCACACAGCAGGGGAGUUAGACUUGGCAGCCCCUUGACCCCAGACUGCCCUCGUCAAUGGAGUAGGAGCUGCCCAGAACCCUUUUCCUGUUCUCCCAGAUUCAGGGGCAUGAGCCCCCUUGGCCCAGUCCUGGAACAGGGCACCCCGGGAGGGCCCCUCAGGAAGAGGCCGGGGCUGCGGCUUCGGGUGGGGCCGGCAGCCUCUGCUGGGAGCCCAGCAUCUGGAAGCCAUCAGGCCAGGGGAGGGGGGAGUUGCAGGGGAGGUCCAGGGAGGGGGACAUGCCUCCUCCAGGCCACACACAAGCCCAACCCUCGAGAGCGUGGCCUUGGGCCCACAACCGCUGCCUCUGCACCCUGGCCCGCAGCCCCGCCCCCUGGCGCACACGCCCCGCCCUCGUCCGAAGCCACGCCCCCAUCCAGCAGCCACGCCCUCUUCCCCCAGGCUGCCUUCUCACCGCACUGGCCACUGCUCCUGCAAGGGUCAGCAGCGCUCCCCACAGCAUGCUGGGAGCCUCGCUUCUCCGGCGCAGGGUGGGUCUGUCUCUUGGAGUGGGUGGGCUGUGGGGAGCCGUGUCCCCAGGGGUUGUUGGCUUGGUGUCUUUUUGGGGAGUGAGUGGUACUUGUCUUCUGUGAAGUCUUAGCCUAGCGGGGCUGGGGCUUGUGGUGGGGGGCGUGGCCGUGAGGGUAGGAAGGGAGUGGGGACGUCUUCCUCAGUCCUGGGGUGGCAAAGCCUGAGACGCUGAAGAGGCGCUCCAGGUGCCUAGCAAGUCACUCAGAAGUGUUCCAGGAGCGGGGACAGCGUCCCUGAAUGUCGUCUGCAUCCCGCGUGCAUCAGAAUCACACCACGCACGUUUCUGGGCCCCACCGGGCCUGCUAGUCAGACGCUGGGGCCAGCACCCGUCGUCUGCAUAGUUUCUAAGCUCUUGGAUGUUUUGAUGCUCAGACACACUGGGAAUUCUGUUCCGGAGGAGAGACUGCUCCCUGUGAGGAAAGCCAGGGAGGGGAUGGGUUUUUGUUGUUGUUGUUGAGACAAGGUCUUGCUCUGUUGCCCAGACUGAAGUGCAGUGGCGUGAUCAUAGCUCACUGCAGCCUCCAACUCCUGGGCUCAAGCGAUCCUCCCACUUCAGCCUCCUGAGUAGCUGGGACUACAGGCAUGCACCACCACACCUGGCUAAUUUUAUUUUUUUGUAGAGACAGGGUCUCACUACGUUGCCUAGGCUGAUCUCAAACUCUUAGGCUCAAUGAUCCUUGGCCUUGAUUCAGUCCGCCCUGGUGUCCCAGAGAGCACCCCUCCAUCACUCUCUGGGGGUGGCCUGGCAUCUUUUGCAGCAGGGGAGGGAUGCAGUUUCCACUGGGGCCCUCUGGAGAUGAAUGAUGAAGAGGGCGCCUUGGCCGAGCCUGUCCCUGUCCUCUCUGGCAGCCUUGCCAACAUUCCACUAACCCCCGAGACUCAGCGGGACCAGGAGCGGCGGAUUCGGCGGGAGAUCGCCAACAGCAACGAGCGGAGACGCAUGCAGAGCAUCAACGCGGGAUUCCAGUCCCUCAAGACCCUCAUCCCCCACACAGACGGAGAGAAGCUCAGCAAGGCAGCCAUUCUCCAGCAGACAGCCGAGUACAUCUUCUCCCUGGAGCAGGAGAAGACCAGGCUCUUGCAGCAGAACACACAGCUCAAGCGCUUCAUCCAGGAGCUGAGCGGCUCGUCCCCCAAGCGACGGCGGGCAGAGGACAAGGACGAAGGCAUAGGCUCCCCGGACAUCUGGGAGGACGAGAAGGCGGAGGACCUGCGGCGGGAGAUGAUUGAGCUGCGGCAGCAGCUGGACAAGGAGCGCUCGGUGCGCAUGAUGCUGGAGGAGCAGGUGCGCUCGCUGGAGGCCCACAUGUACCCGGAAAAGCUCAAGGUGAUUGCACAGCAGGUGCAGCUGCAGCAGCAGCAGGAACAGGUGAGGCUGCUGCACCAGGAGAAGCUGGAGCGGGAACAGCAGCACCUGCGGACCCAGGUGAGCAGGAGGCGCCCGGGAGUGGGCUCUGGGGACCGGGAAGGGGACAGGUGAUCUUGAACGGCGGAAGCCUCUCCCUAGGCCACGUCCUCUCUGCUUCUUAAUAUAAAGGGGGAGAGGCAGUUAUACAUUGGCCGGCUCUGCAUGAAAGGGAGGUGGAUGGGCCAAGAGAAGCCUUGAGAGAAAGGCUGAGGGCCUCUGUCUUCCAGCUUCUGCCCCCUCCGGCCCCCACCCACCACCCCACGGUGAUCGUGCCAGCACCGCCUCCUCCUCCCUCCCACCACAUCAAUGUCGUCACCAUGGGCCCCUCCUCGGUCAUCAACUCUGUUUCCACAUCCCGGCAAAAUCUGGACACCAUCGUGCAGGCAAUCCAGCACAUCGAGGGCACCCAGGAAAAGCAGGAGCUGGAGGAGGAGCAGCGGCGAGCUGUCAUCGUGAAGCCGGUCCGCAGCGGCCCGGAGGCCCCCACCUCUGACACCGCCUCCGACUCCGAGGCCUCAGACAGUGACGCCAUGGACCAGAGCCGGGAGGAGCCGUCGGGGGACGGGGAGCUUCCCUGACUACCCCCCCAGCCCUCCUCUCCCUUCUGGGGGCUGGAGGGAGCCGGGGCAGCCACAGGGAGAGACAUGGGCGAAUGAGUGAGAAAUUUUUACAAAAUUACGAUGUCAUUUGGGUCUCUUUUAUGACCUCUUUUUCAAUACUGUAAAUCGACCUUUGAACGAAGCCACUCAACCCGAGGUCCCGGGGCUGGGGUGUCGCAGAGCGUGUGGGAGCAUCGGGACCCCAGGGCUGGGCCUCGGCCCCGGGGGCUGGAGGAAGCUGACACGGAGAUGCCUGGCCUCUCUCUGCCAAAAAGCAUUUUUUCCUUUAAAUAUGUUUUUUAAGAACAGGGAAAAUUAAACAAAACCCCAGGUUAUUUCUUCCCGCCCAGAGCCAGCCUGGGAUUGUCAGCCUUCAAUCCCCUUUCCCUCCUCUUUUUGGGUUUUCUUCUUUCUCCUUUAAGCACUUACAUGGUUGGGGGUAAGACUAGGCUGGGGCGUUCUGGGGGCCCGGAGGCCUCCGUUGCUUCUCGGUUGGGGUUUGCUGCUGCUGUGCCCCCCUCCCCCUUCCCCAUCUCGGCACUAGAAUUCGCCACUCUCCCACCCCCCCAGCCCCCACCUAUGCCUCCAGGUCUCAUCUUCCACCCCAAAAAUGUCUGUCUCUCUCUUUUUGUUUUGUUUGUUGUUGGUUUUUUAUUUCUUUUUGGUUUGCUUUCUGUUUUUGUUUUGUUUUUCUUUUUCUUUUUCUUUUUUUUUACAAUUUUGAGGUCUUCGUGUUCAAGGAGAAGCUAUUAUAUUUUGUUAAGAAAGUGGGGAGAAAAAAACCAAGAGGCCACCGUGCCUUUGUAAAGAAACAAAAUAAAGUUUGUACUUUGUUUUUU